UUCACCCAACAACUAAUAAAUUUCUUUUUUCUCUCUCAAUUAUAAAAAAUUACAAAAUAAUCACUUUACCAUUCAAUUUUGUUUUUUUAUCAACUGAUUUUUUGGUGUUUUUGUUGUUACUUUAACUAGCUAGUGACUAAAAAAAAAAAGACAACUGAACAGUUAAGUGAUAAUUUUGUAACUUUUCCUAAUUUAGUUACCAAAGAAAAAAGGAAAACCAUAACUGAGUGAUCUCUACUUUAAUUUACCCAUUGGUUUUCUAUCUCAUGCUGCUACUUUAUUACAACAUCUACUAACCUUUUGUCUUUAAUUAUCAAUUGGUGAAGGUAAACAUUUUGACACAUACUUCAGAGGUAGCCUUAAGCGAUGAGCAGCUUGCCGCAAUGGAGAAGUUGAAAACGAAACACAAGGCACAGGAUGAAAAGGAACGUUUGGAAAGAGAGCGACUUAAAGAAGGCGUCGAUGAAUCGGAAGCCACCAAUUGGGGUGAUAAUAUACUAUAUGUUUCCAGUGGUGAGCUUAGAGGAGCUUCAAUUCCGGAACCCUUGACCAGCAGAAAGGAGACAGGUGGUGCACUGUGGGAUAUUUUUAGGAGGGAGGAUGUCCCUAAACUAGAAGCUUAUUUGAGAGAGCACUACACAGAAUUCAGGCAUACCUACUGCUCCCCAGUUGAAAAGGUAAGCCAUGGGGGAGCACUUUUAGAAUUAAAUCGACAAGCUUACUGCUGGGUACUUCUCAAAAGAAGUUUUUUAAAUCGUAAUAAUGCUAAACCCUUUGGCCAUCUGCAUUGAACGAAACACUCCUUUAAGAGGUAGUCACUCAACGUUCUUGAUGGUUGCGUUUAUGAUCAGGUAAUCCAUCCGAUUCAUGACCAAUCAUUUUACCUAACUGCGGAGCACAAAAGGAGACUAAAGGAGGAAUAUGGUUAGUACAAAGAAUGACAUUGAUAUCUAAUGUAAAAACUUUGCCUAUACCGUGUUUUUUUAUCUUUUUCCUCAUGCAAGUGUGUACGUGAUUCCUAGGAGUUGAACCGUGGACGUUUGAGCAAAAUCUCGGAGAGGCUGUUUUUAUUCCGGCUGGAUGUCCACACCAAGUUAGAAACCUGAAGGUAUUUAAUUAAUACAUACAUAAUCGUUCCAUGUUGUGCAACACAUGUUUAUGGUCUCUCAUAGCAAUGUUUUCCAGUCAUGCACCAAAGUCGCCUUGGACUUCGUUUCUCCAGAGAAUAUCCAGGAAUGCCUCCGUUUAACAGAGGAAUUCAGGCAACUACCCAAGAACCAUAGAGCCAGAGAAGACAAACUUGAGGUAGGCACAUCCUUUCGUUGAUGUUUUGACUUAUUUAUUUCCUUCAAAACCUUACUUGCAAACGAUUUCGUGUAAACAGAUAAGGAAAAUGAUUAUUUAUGCAGUAGAACGAGCUGUUAAAGAAUUAUCUGAACUGAUAUCAACUCCAAACUGAAGCACGCUUCUCCAACUGCAACCGUGGAACUGACCUUUUUGUAUUCGCUCGGACAAUUGUCAGAGAUAUCCGGGCUGGGAAUUUCUUUACUUUUCCCCGGGGUAUAGCUUGACCUUUUUGUAUGCAACUUCAUUUGGAAUUGUUAGAGACCAUCCGGGAUGGGAAUUUAUUUAUUUUUCCCCGGGGUCUAACUUGACCUUUUUGUAUGCAACUUUUGGAGCACAUAGCUGUACUUGCUUACAAUAGAUACUAAUCAUUUUUACUAUUCCAUCUCUUAUAUAUUCUUCGUAGACCUGAUAAUAUAUUGUCAACAUGAAACGAUUACACAAAACAUAACAAAAAAAAAAUAAACACAAUAAGAAUUCGUGCAAUUUCAAAACAUGGUAAGACUAUGCUUGACACUAAAAAAUACGAAAUGAAAUAUGAAUUCACUAAUAGCUAAAUCUAUUAAGAUGAGCAAUCACAAACAAAAUAUUUUAUACCUUAGUUAUGCUACAUUUGCAGGUUGAGUCUAAGUUCGAUUAGUAUGAGCAUUGUUAUCAAUGUAGGAGACGUGAGUUCGAGAGCACUGAUGCAGGACUAUGGGUAAUUCUAAACAUUAUAUUCAAAAAGAGCAGAUAUGAUCAGAACUUAUAAUUAGACUAUUAAAAAAAAAGUUAUGCUGCAUUUAACAGAAGUAUUAUUUUUUUCAAAAUGUCCUAAUACAUAAGUCAAGGUUAGUAAAGAAUAGAACUAACUAUAAAUUAUAAAUGUAGUAAAAGUCACAGUCAAGGUGCUUACCAUUGGGUUGUUUACUGCCAGAUGCUUUUGCCAUCGUCUGCAAUCGACAAGCUUAACUGCCUCUGAAAUCUAUACUUUUAUUUAUUUAUUUAUUUUCAUUCGUAAAAUGUUGUCGUAUUGCUUAAAUAAAGAUGUCCAACCUCUGUUUUAAAAAAAUAAUUAAAACAAAAUUAUUAAAAAAAAAAGAAAACAACAAAACAUGAAUAUAUGUAUAUAUAUGUAUAGCCAAAUAUAGAAACAAAUAAUAGCAAGCAAAAGAUUCAACUACCUAAUAUCAUUGUUAACCAUUUAAAUUAGUUAAUGUGUUUUUCAUUUUCAAUCAAAGACAUGUAAAUUAUUAAAAAAAUUAGUUUCAUAUAUUUAAAUCAUAAAUAAAAAAAGUUUAAAAUAAUUUUUGAUGUUCUUCAAAAGAAUUAUGAGUGAUGGGUAAAAUGCAAAGAUAAAUCCUAUUGAUACUAAGAAUUUAUUAUGCAUUCAAAGUAAUAAGCAAACCCAAUCAACAAUCAAUCAAUAAACAAAAUAAAUGGAUGGACAAAAUUUCAUUGUAGAUCUAAACCUAAAAUCUAAAAUAUUAAAACCUACUCCAUUAGCAUUCAAACAAAGUGUUCAUCACAAACAACCAAAAACAAAUAAUACCUUUAAAAUUCCCCCCACAACAUGAGGUAUAUCUUACUUUUUCUUUGUAAAUUCAAAAAAGAAAUUGUACAAUUCUAAAUCAUACAAAUUAAAUCUUCUAACAGAGAAAUCAGAUGAAGAGAACUUGCCUUAUAACAGCUUCCCUAAAACCUCUUCAUAUUCCCUUCCAUUGAGAGAUCUAAUCCUUCCCACAUAAAAAACCAAUAGAGGUGUACACUUGGAGGCCUCUAUUUAUAGGUUAAUAAUUAGUUAGGGUUCCCAAAAGAAUAUUAAUGAAAUGACAAUAUUGCCCUUUUCUUUUAAAAUCUCCACAAGAAUAUCCCUGUUUGAAUUAGUAAUUUACUAAACUACUAUUAGAACUAAAUUUAGAAUUGAAUUCAAAUUCAAAUAAUUAUAGAAAUGUAUGUAUAAAUAUUAAAUUAAAU
rnacentral:lncRNA from 1 species